UUUUUUUUUUUUUCUAACUAGGUGGGUGUUUGGCUUGGUCAGCUAGGUCACCGUUAGAUAACCGAAUAGGAAGUAGGUGUCUGAAAUCGAAUAUUCAGUUGUGUAUAUGUGCGUGAGGAAUAUAUAAAAUGGCGUGGCGCGAGGUCUUUUGUCCAUAAAUGGAUGUGUGGGUCAAACCAUUUCGUCGGGCUUACUUAAGAUGUAAAUUCGAGCCGCCACUGAAGUAUACGUUGUAUAGAUUUCAUCUCGUGAAUUAGGUAUUCAUGCCAUAAACAUUAUACCGUCUAAUUUCAAUAUAUUAUUCAUAUUUAAUACCGUCGGCUCGUUCGAUAUUCGAUAUUCUGAUUACGUAUAUUUGGUACUCGAAAACCCCAUAAAUAUACAAUAUAAUCAACGGAUUUGAGAAAAUUUUCUGAAUGUUAAAUACAACCGCAGAAGGUUACAAUCUGUGUAAUUUUGUCAACUACAAAUACAUUGUAUAUUUCACGCCUGCAGAUAGUUGAGUUUCUAGCAAGAUAUAUUCUAAUUCUAUACAAGCUGUUUGGAAAUAAGAUAAGAAAUUAAACACAAUUUAAAACGAAAACAAGUGCACACUGAAAGUUAUCAUCAUAGAGUCUAUGGAUACUUAAUAAUUUUAAUCGUUUUAACUAUACAACAAUAAUGAGGGAAUAAUAGUGUUUUAUCAUUCUUUUUUUUUUUAACGGGUCGGAGGAUCGCGACUGAUUCUUAAAAAAAAAAUAAAGAAAAAAAACAAUAGGUACUCAACAAAAUGUAUAAGUAGGUGUGUGUAACACUUUAGUGUGUUUGUGUACUAUAUUCGUUUCGGAUAAAACAAAAUACAAAUAUCAGUUCUUACAGUGGCGUACCUGGAAUUUGUCGGCAGGGGAAAGUGGGG